GGGUUGUGAGGUUAAGCGACUAAGCGUACACGGUGGAUGCCCUGGCAGUCAGAGGCGAUGAAGGGCGUGCUAAUCUGCGAUAAGCGCCGGUAAGGUGAUAUGAACCGUUAUAACCGGCGAUACCCGAAUGGGGAAACCCAGUGUGACUCGUCACACUAUCAUUAACUGAAUCCAUAGGUUAAUGAGGCGAACCGGGGGAACUGAAACAUCUAAGUACCCCGAGGAAAAGAAAUCAACCGAGAUUCCCCCAGUAGCGGCGAGCGAACGGGGAGGAGCCCAGAGCCUGAAUCAGCAUGUGUGUUAGUGGAAGCGUCUGGAAAGGCGCGCGAUACAGGGUGACAGCCCCGUACACAAAAGCGCAUGUGUUGUGAGCUCGAUGAGUAGGGCGGGACACGUGGUAUCCUGUCUGAAUAUGGGGGGACCAUCCUCCAAGGCUAAAUACUCCUGACUGACCGAUAGUGAACCAGUACCGUGAGGGAAAGGCGAAAAGAACCCCGGCGAGGGGAGUGAAAAAGAACCUGAAACCGUGUACGUACAAGCAGUGGGAGCACAGGUUUACCUGUGUGACUGCGUACCUUUUGUAUAAUGGGUCAGCGACUUAUAUUCUGUAGCAAGGUUAACCGUAUAGGGGAGCCGUAGGGAAACCGAGUCUUAACCGGGCGUUAAGUUGCAGGGUAUAGACCCGAAACCCGGUGAUCUAGCCAUGGGCAGGUUGAAGGUUGGGUAACACUAACUGGAGGACCGAACCGACUAAUGUUGAAAAAUUAGCGGAUGACCUGUGGCUGGGGGUGAAAGGCCAAUCAAACCGGGAGAUAGCUGGUUCUCCCCGAAAGCUAUUUAGGUAGCGCCUCGUGAAUUCAUCUUCGGGGGUAGAGCACUGUUUCGGCUAGGGGGCCAUCCCGGCUUACCAACCCGAUGCAAACUGCGAAUACCGGAGAAUGUUAUCACGGGAGACACACGGCGGGUGCUAACGUCCGUCGUGAAGAGGGAAACAACCCAGACCGCCAGCUAAGGUCCCAAAGUCAUGGUUAAGUGGGAAACGAUGUGGGAAGGCCCAGACAGCCAGGAUGUUGGCUUAGAAGCAGCCAUCAUUUAAAGAAAGCGUAAUAGCUCACUGGUCGAGUCGGCCUGCGCGGAAGAUGUAACGGGGCUAAACCAUGCACCGAAGCUGCGGCAGCGAACGUAUCACUUAAAGCGAUUCAGCGGGUUACGAUUGACGGAGCGAAGCGACGUCAAAGCGUAUACAAAGUCGAGUCGGUUUAAGGAUACGUUCGUUGGGUAGGGGAGCGUUCUGUAAGCCUGUGAAGGUGGCCUGUGAGGGUUGCUGGAGGUAUCAGAAGUGCGAAUGCUGACAUAAGUAACGAUAAAGCGGGUGAAAAGCCCGCUCGCCGGAAGACCAAGGGUUCCUGUCCAACGUUAAUCGGGGCAGGGUGAGUCGACCCCUAAGGCGAGGCCGAAAGGCGUAGUCGAUGGGAAACGGGUUAAUAUUCCCGUACUUGGUGUUACUGCGAAGGGGGGACGGAGAAGGCUAUGUUGGCCGGGCGACGGUUGUCCCGGUUUAAGCGUGUAGGUGUGUGUUCCAGGUAAAUCCGGUUCACUUUAACACUGAGGCGUGAUGACGAGGCACUACGGUGCUGAAGCAACAAAUGCCCUGCUUCCAGGAAAAGCCUCUAAGCAUCAGGUAACAUCAAAUCGUACCCCAAACCGACACAGGUGGUCAGGUAGAGAAUACCAAGGCGCUUGAGAGAACUCGGGUGAAGGAACUAGGCAAAAUGGUGCCGUAACUUCGGGAGAAGGCACGCUGACACGUAGGUGAAGUGAUUUACUCAUGGAGCUGAAGUCAGUCGAAGAUACCAGCUGGCUGCAACUGUUUAUUAAAAACACAGCACUGUGCAAACACGAAAGUGGACGUAUACGGUGUGACGCCUGCCCGGUGCCGGAAGGUUAAUUGAUGGGGUCAGCGCAAGCGAAGCUCCUGAUCGAAGCCCCGGUAAACGGCGGCCGUAACUAUAACGGUCCUAAGGUAGCGAAAUUCCUUGUCGGGUAAGUUCCGACCUGCACGAAUGGCGUAAUGAUGGCCAGGCUGUCUCCACCCGAGACUCAGUGAAAUUGAACUCGCUGUGAAGAUGCAGUGUACCCGCGGCAAGACGGAAAGACCCCGUGAACCUUUACUAUAGCUUGACACUGAACAUUGAGCCUUGAUGUGUAGGAUAGGUGGGAGGCUUUGAAGUGUGGACGCCAGUCUGCAUGGAGCCGACCUUGAAAUACCACCCUUUAAUGUUUGAUGUUCUAACGUGGACCCGUUACCCGGGUUGCGGACAGUGUCUGGUGGGUAGUUUGACUGGGGCGGUCUCCUCCUAAAGAGUAACGGAGGAGCACGAAGGUUGGCUAAUCCUGGUCGGACAUCAGGAGGUUAGUGCAAUGGCAUAAGCCAGCUUGACUGCGAGCGUGACGGCGCGAGCAGGUGCGAAAGCAGGUCAUAGUGAUCCGGUGGUUCUGAAUGGAAGGGCCAUCGCUCAACGGAUAAAAGGUACUCCGGGGAUAACAGGCUGAUACCGCCCAAGAGUUCAUAUCGACGGCGGUGUUUGGCACCUCGAUGUCGGCUCAUCACAUCCUGGGGCUGAAGUAGGUCCCAAGGGUAUGGCUGUUCGCCAUUUAAAGUGGUACGCGAGCUGGGUUUAGAACGUCGUGAGACAGUUCGGUCCCUAUCUGCCGUGGGCGCUGGAGAACUGAGGGGGGCUGCUCCUAGUACGAGAGGACCGGAGUGGACGCAUCACUGGUGUUCGGGUUGUCAUGCCAAUGGCACUGCCCGGUAGCUAAAUGCGGAAGAGAUAAGUGCUGAAAGCAUCUAAGCACGAAACUUGCCCCGAGAUGAGUUCUCCCUGAGACUUAAAGUCUCCUGAAGGAACGUUGAAGACGACGACGUUGAUAGGCCGGGUGUGUAAGCGCAGCGAUGCGUUGAGCUAACCGGUACUAAUGAACCGUGAGGCUUAACCUUACAACGCCGAAG
rnacentral:rRNA from 2 species